rnacentral:misc_RNA from 1 species
UUAUUCAUUCCCCUCCCCUGUCCUCUUUACUUCAUUUUCACUGUUAUUUUCGGCCAAAAACUCAAAAAUCUUCAGUUGCCGGAGCUAGAAACAGAGGAGAAAAGCUUUUUCAUUUUCUUCACUGAAUUUAUUUGUAUCCAAAAGGGCAAUGUCAGCUUGCAAAGGUCAAGAUCCACGUAUCCAUGCUAUACAGUCUACAAUUCGUGUUGUCCCUAAUUUCCCCAAACCAGGGAUAAUGUUUCAAGAUAUAACUACUCUGUUACUGGAUCCAAAAGCCUUCAAAGAUACAAUUGAUUUAUUUGUGGAACGGUACAGAGACAAAAGCAUCUCAGUUGUUGCUGGAAUAGAGGCUCGAGGAUUCAUAUUUGGUCCACCAAUUGCUUUGGCGAUAGGGGCAAAAUUUGUCCCUUUGAGAAAACCAAACAAAUUGCCAGGUAAAGUUUUCAAACAAGAGUAUGACUUGGAAUAUGGAAGUGAUUGUCUUGAGAUGCAUAUUGAAGCAGUAGAAGCUGGUGAGCGAGCUUUGGUGGUUGAUGAUCUAAUUGCUACUGGUGGCACUGUUUCUGCAGCUAUGAAUUUACUUGAGCGUGCUGGCGCAGAAGUGGUUGAAUGUGCAUGUGUGAUUGAAAUACCAGAACUAAAGGGUAAGGAGAAGUUGAAUGGCAAGCCAUUGUAUGUGCUGGUGGAGUAUCGGUAGUAUCUGCAGACCAAUUAUGUUUAUUGUUAUAACAAACUGUACAUUAGAGGGCGCUAUUAUUGGCCAACUUGUCUGGGUUAUUUAUCUUUUCAUUCUUCAUUAUGUGUAGUGAAUUUUGAAAAAAAGGCCUCUUUGGUUUAUGUGGAGAACUCAUUCACGAGCUAAGG